CACAGUUUAAAUGAUCCUGUUUUCUCUGUGACAGAGGCAGCAGCACUUUAAUUAGAAUUAUAACUGUUUGUCUUUUAUGAGUGUUUUCAGUAAAGAAUCACAGACUCCGUGGUGAGUACGCACUGCAGCUACUGUCAGUUUGCAUCGACUUUGACCGCCGGUAAAUUCAGUAUGAAUCAGUUUGUCAGGAUAAAACUGGACUUUUCAUUAAGUCUGCUGUAGUAAUCAUUAGUCUGUAUUGUCCUCACUUCCUCUUCACUCUUCCCUCAGGAAAACAGGGGACAGAAGGAAGGUAGAGCCUUUCAGCAGAACCGGACCAAGCCUCCUCACUUCUUCAAUAAUUUCAGUUUUCAGUUUCCAUGAG